GCCAACACUGGGACUGAGAACUGCCCAGACUCCUACGGGAGGCUGCAGUCGAGAAUCUUUCGCAAUGGGCGAAAGCCUGACGAAGCGACGCCGUGUGAGCGAUGAAGGCCUUAGGGUUGUAAAGCUCUUUCGCCUGUGAACAAGUGAGUCUGACGAACAAUCAGAUAAAUUGAGGGUAACAGGUAAAGAAGCACCGGCUAACUCCA
rnacentral:rRNA from 1 species